rnacentral:rRNA from 1 species
UACAGAGGUCUCAAGCGUUGUUCGGAUUCAUUGGGCGUAAAGGGUGCGUAGGCUUGUGGGGUAAGUCUGGUGUGAAAUCCCCGGGGCUCAACCCCGGAACUGCACUGGAUACUGCUUUACUAGAGCACUGGAGAGGGAACUGGAAUUUACGGUGUAGCAGUGAAAUGCGUAGAUAUCGUAAGGAAGAUCGAGUGGCGAAGGCGAGUUCCUGGACAGUUGCUGGACGCUGAGGCACGAAGGCCAGGGGAGCAAACGGG